GAUGAACGCUGGCGGCGUGCCUAAUACAUGCAAGUCGAGCGAAUGGAUUAAGAGCUUGCUCUUAUGAAGUUAGCGGCGGACGGGUGAGUAACACGUGGGUAACCUGCCCAUAAGACUGGGAUAACUCCGGGAAACCGGGGCUAAUACCGGAUAACAUUUUGAACCGCAUGGUUCGAAAUUGAAAGGCGGAUUCGGCUGUCACUUAUGGCUGGACCAGCGUCGCAUUAGCUAGUUGGUGAGGUAACGGCUCACCAAGGCAACGAUGCGUAGCCGACCUGAGAGGGUGAUCGGCCACACUGGGACUGAGACACGGCCCAGACUCCUACGGGAGGCAGCAGUAGGGAAUCUUCCGCAAUGGACGCAAGUCUGACGGAGCAACGCCGCGUGAGUGAAGAAGGGUUUCGGCUCGUAAAACUCUGUUGUUAAGGAAGAACGCCAGGUAGAGUAACUGCUACCUGUGUGACGGUACUUAACCAGAAAGCCACGGCUAACUACGUGCCAGCCGCCGCCGUAA
rnacentral:rRNA from 1 species